UGAGCAUGCUUUCUCGUGGGGCAGUGAAUCUACUUACUUGUUGUGUAUAGGUGAAAGUUUUGGCUUUUGGUUGAAUAAACAUAGCAACUACUCCCUCCGUUCCAAAAUAGAUGACUCAACUUUAUACUAACUUUAGUAUAAAGUUGAGUCAUCUAUUUUGGAACGGAGGGAGUAGUUUUCAUGUUGUAGUCGCAAAAAAGAAAAGCAGGUUUCAUGUUUUGUAUGCUUUUUUGAAGUAACUGAGUGAAUGGAAAUAGUAGUUCCAGCUGAACUGCUCGUUUGCUUCAGUUCAUAAUAGUACGGCUAGUGUGUAACUUCCUUUCAGUGAAACUCCUUUCAUGAUGCUCGC
rnacentral:lncRNA from 1 species